rnacentral:rRNA from 1 species
GGAUUAGAUACCCUGGUAGUCCACGCCCUAAACGAUGAAGGUUAGACAUUGGGUUCGCUCAGUGUUGUAGCUAACGCGAUAAACCUUCCGCCUGGGGAGUAUAGUCGCAAGACCGAAACUCAAAGGAAUUGACGGGGACCCGUACAAGCGGUGGAACAUGUGGUUUAAUUUGAUGUACGCAAAGAACCUUACCAACCCUUGACAUACUUGCGUGGUGGUCUAAGAAAUUAGACCUUCAUUUAGUUGGUGCAAGAACAGGUGCUGCAUGGCCGUCGUCAGCUCGUGUCG